rnacentral:rRNA from 1 species
UACAGAGGGUGCAAGCGUUGUUCGGAAUUAUUGGGCGUAAAGGGCGCGUAGGCGGUGCCACAAGUCACCUGUGAAAUCUCCGGGCUUAACUCGGAGCCUGCAGGCGAAACUGUGGUGCUGGAGUGUGGGAGAGGUGCGUGGAAUUCCCGGUGUAGCGGUGAAAUUCGUAGAUAUUCGGAGGAACACCAGUGGCGAAGGCGGCUCACUGGUCCAUUACUGACGCUGAGGUGCGAAAGCGUGGGGAGCAAACAGG